GUGUGUGUUGGUACUGGGGCUUAAACUUGAAGCCUAGGUACUGUCCCCUUAGCAUUUUUGCUCAAGGAUGAUUGCUGUACUAUUGAAGCUACAGAUCCACUAUGGCCUUUUAGUGAUUAGUUGAAGAUAAGAAUUUUAACAACUUUCCUCCUAGAGCUGACUUUAAACUGAAGUCUUCAGUAAGAAUUUUAACAACUUUCCUCCUAGAGCUGACUUUAAACUGAAGGCUUCAGUCUCGAGUAAGAAUUAUAGGCCUGAGUCACCAGUUCCUGGCUCUGGCUUCUAAAAUGAGAACAUGAGGAGACAUGGGUGUCCUUGAAAAUCUUUGUGUGUAUGUAUAAGCUUCUGUGCAUGCACAGAAAUGCAUGCUAUUGUUCAUAUGAUUUUCUUACCUGUCAUUACAAUGGUAUUUAUGUAUUUAUUGAGAGAGUCCUGGAAAAUACAAACAGGCAAACCACAGAAAACCCCACAAAAGUAUGUAAUCAUUUAUGAUAACAGUUUAAGUGCCUCAAGGUUUGAUUUAUGUUUCACUUGUUUUCUGUUUUCCUGAGUGUAAGGAAAGAGGAAAUCAGUUCUUAGACUCAUUUUGAGUGAGGAAAGUGGGGAAAAUGAAAUUUUUUUUUUUUUGGUUUUUUGUUUAUUUGUUUUGCUAGCACCAUCACUAGGUGGGCAGACUCAGUUUUUAGAUUGUAAGUAAUGUUUCAAGAUCUGAGAGAAACAAUGAACAAAGAAUUCCAUGUUCUUAGCUUAAGUUUAUUGAUCCUUUUCUAAAUUAACUGCAACUUUUGAAUUGCUGGAUUUCUUUGCUACUUUUUCCUCUUCUAGUAGAAAGAAAAACAGAGUUUACUUUUGAAUAUCCGAUGAGAAUCAUUAAAUAUUAGACUUCAUCUGUUUUCCUCCAUUUGUUUCUUUUAGUCUAGUUUCUCUUAGGUCACUACAUUCCAUUCUUCUGUGUUGGAUGGAAAAAUAGGGUAAAGGAUUUGGGAUGAGACUAGAUACAUCAUUAUAAGGGCUAUUACUGCCUGAGCUGGGGCCUCUAAAGGGAAAGAAAUCCCCUAUCUCCCUAACCUUGUGUUCACUUUGUCCUUACUAAUUUAUACUUCCAAUAGGUGAGCACAAAAUUCCCUGUUGAACCCAGACCCCCUGGGGGUAAAAUAAUCUUCACAAAACAAUUUCCUUGCAAUGUUGAAUCAUAGGAUGAGUUUGCAAAUAUUGUAUUUGAGUUACCUGAGAUGUAUGUGAAGCUUCUAUAUGAUACUUUAGAUUGACUGGGCUCCAGCUGGGCACUUGUGGGAAACAGCUUUACUGAGAUAUAAUUUACAUAAUACAGUUGACUCACCUGAAGUGUGUAAUUGCGAGUUUUUUCAGUACAUUUAUAAAGUUAUGCAACCAUCAUCACAAAACCAUUUUAGAACAUUUCUGUCACCUUGAAAGAUCCCUUUUGUUGGUUUGCAGACUCAAAUCUAACCAAAGUUUAUCACAGUUGCCAGGGAAAGGAAGAUGUUGAGAAGGAUUAUAGUAGGUCUUGUUGUUUGUCUGAGGAGUGCGUGUGAUUUUUAAGCUCAGGAUUUUUGUUUUAAUGUAUUAACUAUAUUGUGUCAAGUCAGGUGUCAUAAUAGUAUAAGUUUAAUGAUGCUGGGUGGGAUUUAUAUUAGCACCUAAUUGAGUCUGCUGUACCAUGGAGUGCAGGAGGAAAGAGGAAACAAACAUCUAUAACUUGAAAUAUCCUAGCAGCCACAUUAAAAAAAUUAAAGAUACAUAGCUGAAGAUUAAUUUUGGCAAUAUAUUUUAUUUAACUCAAUAUAUACAAAAUAUUAUUUUAGCAUAUAAGCAAUGUAAAAAUUACUGAGAUAGCAUAUAUUUUGUCUUUCAUACUAAUUCUUUGAAAAUUGCUGUAUAUUUUUUACUAAUUUGGACUAACCUAUCUAAAGUGUUCAUUAGCUACAUAAGGCCCAUGGCUACUGUAAUGAAGAGCUCUAGACUGUGUGUAUUUAUUUGUUUUUCUAUAAGAUAAAUAGACAAUGUCAUGGAAUUACUUUUGUUGAAUUUUUUUCCCAUGAGAUAGGGUCUCUAUUAGAGGCCAGGCAAGUCUUGAACUCUUGAAGUUCCUGCCUCAGCCUCCUAAAAUGCUGAGAUUACAGGCAUGAAUUUUUUUGACAGGCAGAAU